rnacentral:rRNA from 1 species
GCUUGUCUCAAAGAUUAAGCCAUGCAUGUCUCAGCAUAAGCCUUUUCACGGUGAAACUGCAAAUGGCUCAUUAAAGCAGUUACAAUUUAUUUGAUGGUGACUGUUACAUGGAUAACUGUGGUAAUUCUAGAGCUAAUACAUGCGUAAAGUCCCGACUCUUUCUGGGGAGGGAUGUAUUUAUUAGAUAAAAAACCAAUGCGGGUUCUGCCCGGUUUUGUGUUGAAUCAUAGUAACUUUUCGAAUCGCAUGGCUUCACGCCGGCGAUAGUUCAUUCAAAUUUCUGCCCUAUCAGCUUUCGACGGUAGUGUAGUGGACUACCGUGGCGUUAACGGGUAACGGAGAAUUAGGGUUCGAUUCCGGAGAGGGAGCCUGAGAAACGGCUACCACAUCUAAGGAAGGCAGCAGG